ACUCCUACGGGAGGCAGCAGUGGGGAAUAUUGCACAAUGGGCGCAAGCCUGAUGCAGCCAUGCCGCGUGUAUGAAGAAGGCCUUCGGGUUGUAAAGUACUUUCAGCAGUGAGGAAGGUGGGUAUGUUAAUAGCAUACUCAUUUGACGUUAGCUGCAGAAGAAGCACCGGCUAACUCCGUGCCAGCAGCCGCGGUAAUACGGAGGGUGCGAGCGUUAAUCGGAAUUACUGGGCGUAAAGCGCAUGCAGGUGGUUUGUUAAGUCAGAUGUGAAAGCCCGGGGCUCAACCUCGGAAUUGCAUUUGAAACUGGCAAACUAGAGUACUGUAGAGGGGGUAGAAUUUCAGGUGUAGCGGUGAAAAUGCGUAGAGAUCUGAAGGAAUACCGGUGGCGAAGGCGGCCCCCUGGACAGAUACUGACACUCAGAUGCGAAAGCGUGGGGAGCAAACAGGAUUAGAUACCCUGGUAG
rnacentral:rRNA from 1 species